CGCAGGACUCCAUGCUUGAGUCGCUGUCCUGAGGAUCUCCUUCACCCUCAUCUUCCUCCAAACUCCUGAACAGACCAUGAAAUACAUACAGAACAUGUCAACAAACACACAGACGUUCACAUGACAAUUCUUCUACAGUACCAGGUUGAUAGGCAGGAAACACCUCGCCUAGACCAAACAUCAGCAUCAUAACGCCUAAGAACCCCAGCAGAUGUUUACACAUCGUCCUCCAGUCCACAGGGCUCGGAGACAUGUCCACCCUGUUCCUGAUGAACAUGUCAAAGUCCCAGUGGAUCUACAAUACCAACAUGAAACAUCACAUCAUGACACACCCACCAGGAGCAAUACAUGCAACCCUUAUCAGUGAAUAGACUACAGUGUUGUGAGUCUUCUCUUACAGGCUCUCCUCAGUUUCUCCUCAGAUCAGGAUGGUCCCACUGAUACCAUGGGUCUCUUUCAUGCUGUGAUCUGUUUGGCAACAUGGGGUAGUCACCAUACCUGAAAAACAACAAUGCAAACAAAAAGUUAGAACCCUCAACUGCAGGUGUUUUUCAGGGUCUUAAAUUCACUCAGAAACUGCAGUCUGAGAGACACACCCCCUGCCAUCAUCAGGAUACAGCUGGUAAUCUUCCAGAGUCAUGUUGUAUUUCUUGGCUGCUGCUGCUCUCUCCUCUGGGGUUUUGGGGUACGGGCCAGGCAGCAUGCCCUGUGAAACACCAGAGGCUGCAACACAACACACAAACGAAAGAACUCGAGUCAACAGACCCGCUCUGACCGCCGCCAUACUGCCUCACUGAAACAAGCGCGCAUGCGCAGAGUGCUGUCAAUCAAUCAACACAGAGGACACGCCCCAAUUACACUGCAGCAACACACCUGAAAAAGCAAUAACCUACCGAGAUGCUCCAAACCAUAUAUAGACUGUGUUUAUUAUGUGCACUGUGUAGUUUGUUUAUAAUAUUUCUCUUCAAAAGUCCUGUAUUGCUGAAUUAUUUGUGAUACUUCACCCUCAAACCAAUAAUAAAAUAUAUAUUUGAGUAUGUUACCUGCAUUUCAAAUGGAUUUAAUUGCUUGUGUAUUUUU